rfam:Myotis lucifugus cont2.2358, whole genome shotgun sequence.
GGUGGUUCUCAGGUGACACAUCCUAGAAUCGGGCUCCCUCCUCUCUGGUUCUGGGGUGUGUCACCUGAGAAUCACA